rnacentral:rRNA from 1 species
GACGAACGCUGGCGGCGUGCUUAACACAUGCAAGUCGAACGGAAAGGCCCUGCUUUUGUGGGGUGCUCGAGUGGCGAACGGGUGAGUAACACGUGAGUAACCUGCCCUUGACUUUAGGAUAACUUCAGGAAACUGGGGCUAAUACCGGAUAGGAGCUCCUGCUGCAUGGUGGGGGUUGGAAAGUUUCGGCGGUUGGGGAUGGACUCGCGGCUUAUCAGCUUGUUGGUGGGGUAGUGGCUUACCAAGGCUUUGACGGGUAGCCGGCCUGAGAGGGUGACCGGCCACAUUGGGACUGAGAUACGGCCCAGACUCCUACGGGAGGCAGCAGUGGGGAAUAUUGCACAAUGGGCGGAAGCCUGAUGCAGCAACGCCGCGUGCGGGAUGACGGCCUUCGGGUUGUAAACCGCUUCCGCCUGUGACGAAGCGUGAGUGACGGUAAUGGGUAAAGAAGCACCGGCUAACUACGUG